rnacentral:rRNA from 1 species
AACGAACGCUGGCGGCAUGCCUAACACAUGCAAGUCGAACGAGAUCUUCGGGUCUAGUGGCGCACGGGUGCGUAACGCGUGGGAAUCUGCCCUUUGGUUCGGAAUAACAGUUGGAAACGACUGCUAAUACCGGAUGAUGACGAAAGCACAAAGAUUUAUCGCCAGAGGAUGAGCCCGCGUAGGAUUAGCUAGUUGGUGUGGUAAAGGCGCACCAAGGCGACGAUCCUUAGCUGGUCUUAGAGGAUGAUCAGCCACACUGGGACUGAGACACGGCCCAGACUCCUACGGGAGGCAGCAGUGGGGAAUAUUGGACAAUGGGCGAAAGCCUGAUCCAGCAAUGCCGCGUGAGUGAUGAAGGCCUUAGGGUUGUAAAGCUCUUUUACCCGGGAUGAUAAUGACAGUACCGGGAGAAUAAGUUCCGGCUAACUCCGUGCCAGCAGCCGCGGUAA